UACGGAGGGGGCUAGCGUUGUUCGGAAUUACUGGGCGUAAAGCGCACGUAGGCGGCUUUGUAAGUUAGAGGUGAAAGCCCGGGGCUCAACUCCGGAAUUGCCUUUAAGACUGCAUCGCUAGAAUUGUGGAGAGGUGAGUGGAAUUCCGAGUGUAGAGGUGAAAUUCGUAGAUAUUCGGAAGAACACCAGUGGCGAAGGCGGCUCACUGGCCCGAUACUGACGCUGAGGCACGAAAGCGUGGGGAGCAAACAGG
rnacentral:rRNA from 1 species